CCUACGGGUGGCAGCAGUGAGGAAUAUUGGUCAAUGGCCGCAAGGCUGAACCAGCCAAGUCGCGUGAGGGAUGACGGUCCUAUGGAUUGUAAACCUCUUUUGUCAGGGAGCAAAGGGCGCCACGUGUGGCGCUUUGCGAGUACCUGAAGAAAAGGCAUCGGCUAACUCCGUGCCAGCAGCCGCGGUAAUACGGAGGAUCCGAGCGUUAUCCGGAUUUAUUGGGUUUAAGGGGUGCGAAGGCGUUAUGUAAAGUCAGUGGUAAAAUUUGGGGGCUAAACCCCGUCGUGCCGUUGGAACUGGCGGUCUUGAGUGAGCGAGAGGUAUGCGGAAUGCGUGGUGUAGCGGUGAAAUGCAUAGAUAUCACGAAGAACUCCGAUUGCGAAGGCAGCAUACCGGCGCUCAACUGACGCUGAUGCACGAAAGCGUGGGUAUCGAACAGGAUUAGAUACCCUAGUAGUC
rnacentral:rRNA from 1 species